rnacentral:misc_RNA from 1 species
GUUGCAGCAUCUCAUCGGGAACCCAGCCGCCGCCACCGCCACCGAUGCUCAGAGCGCGGGUCAGCCGCCGCGGCUCCGGCGCCUCCCCACCCAUCGAUCCCGAUCGGGCUGGAUCAGGCGCUCGCAGGCUCAGCUGGCUUUCUACCGCGGCAGCUCCACGCCGGCUCCCCGAGGAUCUACUCCAGCGAGGGGCGGAGACAUGGGAUUCCCUCUGCUCCCACUCGCCCUGAUUCGGUGGUGCUUGGAACUGGAGCAAGCAGAGAGGAGAAAAUUAUUGGAGGGAGAAGAGAGAGUGGAGAGGAGGACGAGGUGGGAUGGGGAUUUGGGAUGCGGCGUUUACUUCUGCGCGAUCCAGCUGGGGAUGCCAUGCCACGUCGGCUGGGGGCCGGGCAGGGAAUUUGAUCGGCGCACACGCACGCACGAGGCGCACACGCGCCCUGUCGCCGGCGGCGGCGGGCUGGUUUGUAGUGUCCUUUCCACCUGUCCUCUGUGUCUGGUGUGUGUGGUGGUGGAAGCCGUCAGGUGAACUGGUG